rnacentral:rRNA from 1 species
GACGAACGCUGGCGGCGUGCUUAACACAUGCAAGUCGAACGAUGAAGCUAGAGCUUGCUCUGGUGAAUUAGUGGCGAACGGGUGAGUAACACGUGAGUAACCUGCCCCGAACUCUGGGAUAACUGCGGGAAACUGUAGCUAAUACCGGAUACGACCCUCGGCGGCAUCGCCAGGGGGUGGAAAGAAUUUCGGUCAAGGAUGGACUCGCGGCCUAUCAGCUAGUUGGUGAGGUAACGGCUCACCAAGGCGACGACGGGUAGCCGGCCUGAGAGGGUGACCGGGCACACUGGGACUGAGAAACGGCCCAGACUACUACGGGAGGCAGCAGUGGGGAUUAUUGAACAAUGGGCGCAAGCCUGAUGCAGCAACGCCGCGUGAGGGAUGACGGCCUUCGGGUUGUAAACCUCUUUUAGUAGGGAAGAAGCGAAAGUGACGGUACCUGCAGAAAAAGCACCGGCUAACUACGUGCCAGCCGCCGCCGUAA